UACGGGGGGGGCGAGCGUUAUUCGGAAUUAUUGGGCGUAAAGGGCGCGUAGGUGGUCAUGCAAGUCAAACGUGAAAGCCUUUGGCUUAACCAGAGAAUUGCGUUUGAAACUGCAUGACUUGAGUUCGGGAGAGGAAAGUGGAAUUCCCAGUGUAGCGGUGAAAUGCGUAGAUAUUGGGAGGAACACCGGUGGCGAAGGCGACUUUCUGGACCGACACUGACACUGAGGCGCGAAAGCUAGGGGAGCAAACGGGAUUAGAUACCCCCGUA
rnacentral:rRNA from 1 species